AUUGAACGCUGGCGGCAGGCCUAACACAUGCAAGUCGAGCGGAUGACGGGAGCUUGCUCCUUGAUUCAGCGGCGGACGGGUGAGUAAUGCCUAGGAAUCUGCCUGGUAGUGGGGGACAACGUUUCGAAAGGAACGCUAAUACCGCAUACGUCCUACGGGAGAAAGCAGGGGACCUUCGGGCCUUGCGCUAUCAGAUGAGCCUAGGUCGGAUUAGCUAGUAGGUGAGGUAAUGGCUCACGUAGGCGACGGUCCGUAACUGGCCUGAGAGGAUGAUCAGUCACACUGGAAGUGAGAGACGGUCCAGACUCCGACGGGAGGCAGCAGUGGGGAAUAUUGGACAAGGGGCGAAAGCCUGAUCCAGCCAUGCCGCGUGUGUGAAGAAGGUCUUCGGAUUGUAAAGCACUUUAAGUUGGGAGGAAGGGCAGUAAGUUAAUACCUUGCUGUUUUGACAUUACCGACAGAAUAAGCACCGGCUAACUCUGUGCCAGCCGCCGCGGUAAAAC
rnacentral:rRNA from 1 species